rnacentral:rRNA from 1 species
GAUGAACGCUGGCGGCGUGCCUAAUACAUGCAAGUCGAGCGAACAGACGAGGAGCUUGCUCCUCUGACGUUAGCGGCGGACGGGUGAGUAACACGUGGAUAACCUACCUAUAAGACUGGGAUAACUUCGGGAAACCGGAGCUAAUACCGGAUAAUAUAUUGAACCGCAUGGUUCAAUAGUGAAAGACGGUUUUGCUGUCACUUAUAGAUGGAUCCGCGCCGCAUUAGCUAGUUGGUAAGGUACGGCUUACCAAGGCAACGAUGCGUAGCCGACCUGAGAGGGUGAUCGGCCACACUGGAACUGAGACACGGUCCAGACUCCUACGGGAGGCAGCAGUAGGGAAUCUUCCGCAAAGGGCGAAAGCCUGACGGAGCAACGCCGCGUGAGUGAUGAAGGUCUUCGGAUCGUAAAACUCUGUUAUUAGGGAAGAACAAAUGUGUAAGUAACUAUGCACGUCUUGACGGUACCUAAUCAGAAAGCCACGGCUAACUACGUG